GAUAGCUCGCCUCAGGGUUGUGACUUGGCCAUCUGUGUUGUGAGAAAUGAGAGAGUUGUUAAGUUAUCAUAAGUUACUACAGGAUGUUGCUGUGGGUGUGUGUAUGUGUGUGUGUGUGUGUGUGUGUGUGUGUGUGUGUGUGUGUGUGUGUGUGUGUGUGUGUGUGUGUGUGUGUGUGUGUGUGUGUGUUUGUCUGUGUGUGUGUGUGUGUGUGUGUGUGUGUGUGUGUGUGUGUGUGUGUAAUUAAUAAUAAUAAUAAACGGUUUAUUAUUCAGGCAGUUAACAAACUGAAAAUGUACAGAGGGGGUGGGAAAAUACUUAACAUUAAUCCUAAACCUAAGUCUAAUGUAGAAGGGAAAUACUAUUGAUUGAUGGCUCGCACUAUGGUGGGAAUCGCGCUGAGUCUGUAACGGUGUGUGUGUGUGUGUGUGUGUGUGUGUGUGUGUGUGUGUGUGUGUGUGUGUGUGUGUGUGUGUGUGUGUGUGUGUGUGUGUGUGUGUGUGCUUGGUAAAAGGGUGUGGUAGGGGAUGAUAUUAGAUUGUGUGUGUGUGUGUGUGUGUGUGUCUGUGUCAGUGGGUGGAUGGGUAGAUGGGUGUGGUGGGCGUGGCCAGUCGGUCUGUGUGUCGGGUUGUCGUGGUGCUAUGGUGAAAAGUAAAUGUGGUGGUGUGUGUUGCUGGGUGCUGGCGUGUACAGUGCUGAGUGACACUAGCACCUGAACUGCUUGGUAGUGAGUGAGAGCGAGAGUGAGAGUGAGAGUGGUGUAGUGCGUGCGGUGGAUCAUAGUGAAGAAUAACAAUGGGAUGGUGACAUGUGAUUAGUUUAAUAGUGAUGCUGAUGGUGCUGUGUGGUGGUGAGUGCUUAAGUGGUGAUACUGGUGACGGUGGUGGUGGAGCGGACCUGUCCCCCCCCUCUAUCACCACCACCACCACCACCACCAUCACCGCCAUUACCACCACCACCACCGCAGCGCCAGGGUGGGGGGCAGGGUGAUGGACGAGUUAGCGUUGGUGCCAUGGGAGUUGUGGGACAAAUUACACUAUCGCGGCGCUUCUCUGCUUGUUACCCAACAAGUUGGGUUUGUCUCCUGCCUCUCGUUCCGUCCGGGGCACCUCACCCACGGUACUCCCCCUCCAUGGGUCUGGGAGGGGAGGACUGGGGAGGAGUGGGGAGGUAGGGACACUGGGGAGAAGGUAUAGGUGUCAUAUAUACCUGCCAGCAGUGUACACGCUCCCCAUUGCCUCCCCGCGACAAAGUCUCUUCUUGUCUGCUCACAUACCAAUCCUAGGUAACAAUUUUUAUCGGGUAUACAAAUCACCAGAGCGGAGAGGCGACCGUGCGUACGGCGGAGAAAGCAGCGAGUGAUGCCAUAUCCGUCCCGGGCCACUCCUCGCGUUUCCCAGUCGUUUGUGAGCUCAUCUGGGUCAUUAGGUCUCAGGGCCUUGGUAAAGUGGAACUGAUGUCGUGUGUAGCGAGAAAAGAACUCCAGAAGCCACGCAAAGGGACGGAAACCCCGGCCAGGGCGCGCAGGUGUCCCGCUGCCGAGGGUCACCCGCGCUGAGCCGGGAUGUCGGAUGGCGAAGCUUAUGCAACCAGCUUUUCUUACUCUAAUACCCGCGUGGCACAUAUGGCACUGUUUGGGCCGUGUUUUUGGGUGUUUCCGGAACAUUUGCACGGAACUAAGUAGGGAAACGUGAAGUGGGGCAGUGCGGCCGCCGGGGGCACCGAGAAAUGUCCAGGUUUUGAUCAUGUUCCGCACACGUGUGUUGACGUGGCACUCCCAAGGACUUGUUGACACGGUGGAAAUUAUUUCUUGUAAAUAUGUUAUUAAUAUUUUGUGGGUGCAGCAGAGGAGGCGAGGAAAGCACCCCGUCCCCUCCCUCCUCCCUCGCAUCUCCGCCAAUCUGCUGAGACAAGUGUUGCCUCCACCGUGCCGUCCCUGCCUGUGCUGUGCCAGGCGACCUUCGCCGUGCUGUGCUGCCCUCUGCUGUUCUGAUGGUCGUGACUUGUGGCCACGAAGCUCAGUCAGGUCCGUCAUAUGGAAAGCUCUCCGGAGCUCCGUGCCACCACACAGGCCCUACAAACGUGUAGGUUCUCCCCUCGGCAUGGCGGUGUUACGUUUAGGGGAGGCAGGGUGCGUGAGGUUCCCUUAAUGAGAGUCAGAAAGCCGGAGCGGGUCGGGGCGGAGCGAGGCGGGGCAGGGCGGGGCAGUGCCACAGCUUGUACUGCCUAAGUAAUGGAGAGCAACAUGAGAACUGAUAUUGAGGCUGAGGCCCGAGGCGGGGGCUGCGGACCCCGGUGGCUUGAGAGCUAGGCCGUGAGGCAGGGCCUGGGAGGGAAGUGCCGUGAGUGGCCCUGGUGGCCCCUGACAGGGCCAGAGCGGGAGGCAGUGGCGGGGUCGCGGCGCGGGUCUCGGGGCAGAGUUCAGCCAGAGUGCGGUUGGAGCUCGCACGGAGAAGGCCACCUGUAGUGCCGCCGCGCUGGCCGACGCAUCGACACGCUCCCUGCUGCCGGUCGUGAGUCUCCUCGGGGCAGCGGUGCAGCACACACCUGGGGCGCCGCGCAGCCCGCACCUCGCGUCUGCUGGAAAUUUUAGUGAGACAUCACUUGCUUUAGUCAACAGUGUGACGGUGACCGCCGCGAGGCACAACCUGGAGGCUGUUGCAACUUUGGCAAUCUGAGUUAAUUGGGCUUUAGGCAACACUCAGUCCCGCGUCACGAAAGUUGAAGUGCUGCAGUUUUAGUGGUGCGGUUGUGAGGUGCCCCGCCCCGCCCGCCCCGCCCUCAGACUCGGGGCGCAGUGACUCCUGAAAGUGGCUGUGGCUCCUCUUGGUGGGUAGUUAGGUAACUGCUGCAGGGACGCGCCGAGUCCUUGGCACCUGUUCGCCAGCGUGUGUGAGGAGCGCCCCUGGCAGUCCCGUGUGGUGAGCCUGGCAGUGGUCGGAGCCUCGCGAAGCUCCGCCGUUCUGGUUCAGCUGCUUGAGAACAUUGACACGCGGCGAGUGGAAGCAGCGCCCCGUGCCGCCCGUGGAUACACAACAGCCGCAGCAUAGCAAGAGGAGGGAGAUAAAGGUACGUGGGAGUUCAUUGGUGAGUCUGCCGCGCGUCUCGCCAGUGUUGUUUGGGUGAGUGCAGGAGUCACUGUUUGUCUGGGGAGAGGCGAGGGAGGCGAGGCGAGAUGGCAAACACACUCCACGGUUUGAGAAAGUGGUGUGUGUGUGUGUGUGUGUGUGUGUGUGUGUGUGUGUGUGUGUGUGUGUGUGUGUGUGUGUGUGUGUGUGUGUGUGUAAACAAGUGACACGUCCCUCCGUGCCUGCCCUGUCUAGCGAGGGACACACUGUCACGCCCUCUCAGCCAGCACCUCAUGCCCCGCAGCAGGCACCACUUGAGAGCACGUGAGAAAAUGCAGAAGGUGAUUUGUCUUCUUUUUAUCUCGUCCUUCUCGUAAACCUGAAGGGAGAUGGAGUGACGGACGGGUGGAAGAGGAAGAGGGAUACAAGGGAAUACAAAGGAAGUCCAAUGAGCAACAGACAUUGAAUUCCUUACUGGGCUGUUUGGAUAACUAUUCUACGCUAACCAUUAGUGAGAGAUGCAGAAUAAUACAGAGGAAGAAGACUGAGGAGUAAAAGGAGUUGGUGGAGGAAGGGAAAGAGUGAAGACGAGAAAGGGGACCGAAGAUAUAAGGAAAGGAAGAAAAAGCAGAGAAGGAGAUAAGGGGGAUUAAUGAAUACGUGAAAGGGGAGAUAGGAUACAAGGAAAAGGAGAAAGGAGGGAGAGGAAGGCAGUUUGAUCAAUAGCCACACCUGUAAUUCUCAACACUUACCUGCACGACUCUUCACGAGAUUCCCAAACUCAACUCCAUACUUUACCCAACGAGGGAGUUUAGAACACAACAACACAGCGGGAAGACGUGCAGUUUCUCCGCGGCAGACAAUAGACGGUGUAAAGGAGGAGAGGGAGGCGAGGAAUGCGGCGAAGAAACGAUGUAUGUUGCUACGGCGAACAAAGACACAUACAACGAUGGGCGAUAUGUUAAGGGGGAAGACAAGGCAGUCCGUGGUGGUGCCUCUGGGGUGCUGGGGCCACGUGGGGGCGCGGACGUGAGGUCAGGAGGGCAGGCGUGUUGGAGGGUAGGUCAGGUCACGCGUGUGUGGUGGAGGAGGAAAGGUGAGGGGAAAAAGUAAGUGGUUGUCGAUGUAGAAGGUGACGUGUGUGUGUGUGUGUGUGUGUGUGUGUGUGUGUGUGUGUGUGUGUGUGUGUGUGUGUGUGUGUGUUUGUGUGUGUGUGUAUCAGAAGGAAAAGAGAAGCCAUAAACGUUCUUUGUCUAUUUUUUUUCUCUCUACAUGACUACAAGACAAGAACAUUAGCCAUUUCCAUCAUUCCUGUCUCUCUCUUUCUCAGUGUGUGUGUGUGUGUGUGUGUGUGUGUGUGUGUGUGUGUGUGUGUGUGUGUGUUAACAUGUGCGUACACGUGUAGGCUGUCCGUCACGGCCUCGCUCCGCUGCCACUCGUUCUAAUUUGUUAAUGGUAAACUUUCCAUAACCCGAGACUGCCUUUGUGCCAUAAUAACUUACCUCCACGUGUACUUAAACCUCCGGGGACGUGCUUAUUAUCUCCAGUCCUUCUCCUCCUCUUCCUCCUCCUCCUCCUCCUCACAUACCUGCAACACACCUGCCACAAUCCCGGGGCGGCACGGUGGACGGGGCAGCAGGACGCGACAGGGGCACCGCGGAGCAUAAUGUUAAGCCAAAUAGAAGCAGUCGGGGGUGCAGGCUGCGGGCAGGACGCAUGGCCGGCCCCCGCUGCUCGUUUGUUUAUGCAGGCACUACAUCCUCCUGUUGGUGAGCAUAAAUCUCGCAGCAAGAGGAGGCUCGUCUGCCGCGGAGGGCGAUUCGUCUGCGUUGUGCCUCCCGCCGGCCGACCUCCGCCUGGAAACCUUCCCUCUGAUAGGUUCCUCUUUCCCGUUCACUCGCCCGCCCCUUUGAUUUCUCCCUCAUUUGCUUCCUUUCCUUUCU